CUCCAGAAGUAGCUAGUCUAACCGCAAGGGGGACGGUUACCACGGAGUGAUUCAUGACUGGGGUGAAGUCGUAACAAGGUAGCCGUAGGGGAACCUGCGGCUGGAUCACCUCCUUA
rnacentral:rRNA from 1 species